GGGGGAAACUCUAAAUUAUUUUCCAAUGAAUUAGAAUUCCUUCACACAAGUUCAUUUAAGUAGAAACAUAAGCUAUUAACCAUGAUAUUUAUGUUUAAAACAUAUAUGUGCUUGUUUAUGUAAUUUGUACAAAAAAAAGAAAAGAUUCAUACAGUUCAGUUACAUCUCAUGGAAUAUAAGCCAUACUUCUGCAAGUACAGAUUCUCACAUUCACAGGAAAAAUUGAAAACCAGUCAUAAUUAAAUGCUUAUAGAUUUCUACAUAUACAAUUUCAGUAAUUGUUUAAUAAAACACUCAGCGAUUUGAGUGCCUAGUUGACCUUACUUGUAUAAGUUCCAAGUGUUGAACAUAGCAUGGUUUUCUUGAUACUUGUCUCUUUUUUCAUUGUUCCUUUUCAUUGGGACAUUUAUGACUGAUCAUACCCUGCCAAUGGAGAUCUUUUACUUAAUUCAAGAUUAUCAGAGGAAAGGCAAAGUUCCUCUCAAAAUUUAUAAAAAUCUCAACUA
rnacentral:lncRNA from 1 species